rnacentral:tRNA from 2 species
UUCAAAGAGUAGUUUAAUAAAAAUAAUAAUUUUGGAGAUUAUUGAUAAAGAUUUUCUUUUUCUUUGAA